CGCUGGGAAUAGGAAAAAAUGUGUUAGUGGAUAAGUGUAAACUCUAAGCAGCUUGCGUGCCUUGGAACAAUUGAGGCUACCGUGAGUGAGUUUCAAUCGUGUGAUAAGUACGAUAAACUUGGACGAAGCUCACUGGACAUGUACAGAUUUUGUCACUUAUAAUAAUCACAAUCGGUAAUUAGUGUGUGUACCUGAUUAUUCUCACGCAGAGGUCGCUGGGCUAUCACUGCCACAGUAACCAACACUCCCAUCCUUCCCACCGCCGCCACCACCACCAGCGCCACCACUACAGCCACCGCCACUACCGGAACCACCUUCACCGCCAUCCCAUUUUGUUCAGGAAUGGGAUGCAAUCGUGGCACCGUGACCAAUGGGGUGGUGGCGCAGGUGGGCCGGGAUGAUGAAUACAAUGACGAUGAGGAGUCUUACAGAGGGAGGAGGAGGAGUGAUACACCGCCGGCAGUUGUCAGAAUGAGGAGAGUGAAUGAUGAGCAGCUAGAGCCUUCUAUACCUCAAGAUGACCUCCCACCCGACGCAGCUCAGACUGACAACACUCAGGUCUUCAUCCUUGCCAUAUUAAUUGUGGCCUGCUGGUGCCUCUAUUGCUGCCUCUUACUCCUGUACUGCCUCAUCCACCACCUGUAUGUGCGAGGAUUGGUCUUGCGCCAGUAGACGAGCUGCUCAGUGACUGUUGUGCAGAUCCAGUCAUAGCGAGGAACAUGUGCACAUGACACACCCUGACAGGCAUUGUGGGAGCUCUGCGCAGGAGAAGCCAAGGGACACGCAUGCGCAGUGGUGGUGGGCAGGUGGAGGUGGGCUGGCAGCGGGCGACGUGGCGGACCAGGCCGGGAAAUAGGUGGACGCAGGCUCGCUUUUCUCGGCUCCUGAAGGGACGUGUGGCUGGCUGGAGGUGAUGAGAAGUGGUGGUGGCGGAGUCACAGCUGGUGGUCGGCGUCGUUUGGUCUGUGUGCAGCGAGGACAAAACAACGUGUACACGGAAGGAAUGGGUUACUGAUAAAGUCUUCAUGGAGUUUAUUUAUUAUUUUAUUGAUUUGUAUAUAGGUUUCACCAUAUUUUUACUUUCACAUUUCCUUAUCACAAGUGAACAUAAUGAAUUAAAGUAGCAGUAAACAGUAAGAUAAAGAUACACGAAUGUUGACGCUAAUUCUUAUUGCAGGUGACGUAUGGAAAAACUGGAGGAUGGAUGGAUCGCCACGUGCUCCUCCCAACAGUGCGUCAACAAUCAGAACCUACCUCCGCAAGGCUACCGGGACGCUGUUUGUUGCUCCUCCUGGACGUGGAUCGGAAGUGAGAAGACUCAGGCAGCAAGCCCUGUUGAAGCUUCGUCUUCUGCAGUGGUCGUGAAAUUCUUGCCAUGUCGCAGCUGUUCCCUGUGAUUCUCCACGCUCGGUGCCAGGCGGCCUCAGCCCAACUAGCCGCCAUACAGACUGGGAGGAAACCCAUGUAAUGAAGGCAGCUCCUUACCUCCCCACACCCGGCGAGCGAAUGGCUCAGUCUUACACCGAUGAAAGAUUUAAAAAAAAACUUUUAAACAUUA